GGGGAAAGUAUCAGUUUAACACAGUACAAUCCCACAAUGAAGGCAGCGCUGUUUCUACUAUUGGUCCUCGCUUGCAUGGCAGGAAUGGUCCUUUCUCAGCUUAAUACCCAAUCCGUUGGGCCUGUAAUAAAUGACCGAAAACGUUGCCAUCUAGACAGGCGAGGAAACCCUUUUUGGUGUAUUAAUAGUCACGGAUAAAUAAAUGUGUGCUAUUGAGGCUACUAUUUGACAGAUUCAGAAAUUCCUUAGUUUGUCAUUGAUGCUACACGAUUGUGAACGCAAUGUAGCUCCCACUGUUUUCUAACUUGGUAUCAACAUUGGGUAAACGUUGUUUUUAAUAGAAAAGUCAUCAUAUUUCAUACAUGUUUGCAAUAUAUACCGCCAGAUAAUAGUAAUGGUUAUGGUUUUAAAAAUUAAAAAUAAAAUUAAAGUUAAUACAAGUAAUUUUUCACAGCUAAAAUGACUUUUCUUUGAAGACAUUAAAUUUUUUUUUUACUUUAGAACAGUAAAGGAAUUUUUGGAAUACUGACAGAGUAUUCUACUAUAACAGGGUACUCCGUCGGAUCCAGAACUAGCAUAGUAGUAGUAUACUGUAUUCUAGUACAUCGGUAUUCCAGUACCCCUUAGGAUCCAAGACUAGCAUUUACUCGCUUGAGGAUUUUGCAUGAAUACUGGAGGGGCCCUUGCAACUCUUUCACGCCACUCGCUCAUUAUGCUAAUCGCGAGUGCAAACCUAAUUGAACUUAAAUGGAAACUCAUAAAAUGCACUCCAGACCCCUUUUCCCCGGCCAGGGAACUUUGUUUACAGCCAAGCUCAUUGAAGCCGCCACUCUGCCGGCUGACAAGUCGGCUAAGCCCCCGCGAUUAGUCGGCGGGAAAGAGGAGGAGGACCGUGGCUCGUCAGUCUUUCU